UUAAAGAGAAUGACAAAUCGCUUUAUAUCUGUGACCGUUUCAGUGGCACUGCUUUUGAUCACCUUAAACAGCUUGGCUGCAGAAUUGUUGGUCCUCAAGUAGUCACAUUUUGUAUGCGCCACCAGCAGUGUGUCCCAAGAGCUGAACAUCCAGUUUAUAAUAUGAUUAUGUCUGACAUAACUAUAUCUUGUACAAGCCUGGAUAAAGACAAGAGGGAAGAAGUUCAUAAAUACGUACAAAUGAUGGGUGGACGAGUAUACAGAGACCUUAAUGUCUCAGUCACUCACCUUAUUGCAGGAGAAGUUGGGAGCAAAAAAUACUUAGUUGCUGCUAAUCUGAAGAAACCUAUUUUGCUUCCUGCUUGGAUUAAAACACUUUGGGAGAAGUCACAAGAAAAGUAA
rnacentral:lncRNA from 1 species